GAUGAACGCUGGCGGCGUGCCUAAUACAUGCAAGUAGAACGCUGAAGGAGGAGCUUGCUCUUCUGGAUGAGUUGCGAACGGGUGAGUAACGCGUAGGUAACCUGCCUGGUAGCGGGGGAUAACUAUUGGAAACGAUAGCUAAUACCGCAUGACAACAGUUAUUGCAUGAUAACUGUUUAAAAGGGGCAACUGCUCCACUACCAGAUGGACCUGCGUUGUAUUAGCUAGUUGGUGAGGUAACGGCUCACCAAGGCGACGAUACAUAGCCGACCUGAGAGGGUGAUCGGCCACGCUGGGACUGAGACACGGCCCAGACUCCUACGGGAGGCAGCAGUGGGGAAUCUUCGGCAAUGGACGGAAGUCUGACCGGGCAACGCCGCGUGAGUGAAGAAGGUUUUCGGAUCGUAAAGCUCUGUUGUAAGAGAAGAACGAGUGUGAGAGUGGAAAGUUCACACUGUGACGGUAUCUUACCAGAAAGGGACGGCUAACUACGUG
rnacentral:rRNA from 1 species